AACCCACCAAGGGGAGAUGUUAAGCCCCACAACUAUGCAGAUGGGACCGUAGUCUCUGCACUUGCAACACCAGGGGUAGGGACGGUUGGUCCUGUCCCCCAGCCACAGAGCAGUGUAUCCAGAGGGGAGACAGUCGGUCUCCCCCUCCCACAACCAGGCUCCAACCAGGCUACUUCAGUGGUAGCGCUGGCACCCGGGCAGAGUACCGCUGGUCUCUGCCCUCUCAGCAACCCACCAAGGCAG